CCAGCCCUGACCCUUAGGUCUUAGGAAGAACACUCAGCCAUUAGACCUCAGGCCCCAUGCCCUGACCCCAGGCAGAAAGCCAUGUCCUGCAUCCAGGGAUCCAGAAGAGUCCAAAGAACAUAGAAGGAAUGCUGAUCACAGCUCCGGAUCUAGAGGAACAAUGACUAUAAUUAGCUUCAUCUGCCCGUCAAGCAAGGAAUGUCUCUGAAGCCAUGUGCUGAUGACCAGGCAGAGAGGCUGGCAGAGAGCUGGGAUGGAAGUGCUGUAAUGCUGGCACCUCACUCCACUUGGUCACCCCCAUCCUGCUGCUGGCGCCUGCCCGAAGACCCAUGCUCUUGGAUCAGAGGUCUGAGUUUCCUAGAGCUGCCAUAGCAAAUAACUACGAACCAGGUGGAUUAAAACAACAGAAAUUUAUUAUCUCAGUUCUGAAGCCUGGACAUCCAAAAUAGAGAUUUUGACAGGACUGUGCCCUCUCAGAAGGCUCCAGGGAAGAAUCCUUCCUUGCCUCUCCUAAAUUCUACCAUCUGCUGGCAUUUCUGGGCGUCCCUUGACUUGCAGCUGCAUCACUCCAAUUUCUGCCUCCGUCAUCAC
rnacentral:lncRNA from 1 species